GACACAGCAAAAUCUGUGUUCAGGCGUGAGAACCUGAUACAAUCUAGGUGCAAAUUAAUGUCGCACUCGCGGCUAUUUU
rnacentral:misc_RNA from 1 species